ACGUCAGAAACGACGUUAUUGCCCGGGAC
rnacentral:sRNA from 1 species